GAGAGAGAGAUAAAGAGAGGGAUAGAGAGAAAGAGGAAAAAAUGGGCAUAUCUAUCUUGCAGAAUUUCAACAAUAAUUAAACGUUCCUUCGAGACGAAACACACAGACGUGUCGAGGUAUUUUUGAAACGACCAAGACAAACAAUCCACGAACAAAAGAAGCUAGACAUAACGUGGAAAACGAGAAAGUGACAUUUUACGUGUAUAUCGCGCAAAAUUCCAAUGUAACCACAAUAUGUUGUUUACUAUUAAAUUUAUAAGAGUGCUUACAUUAAGAAAUUUCUAAGUAAUCGGAAAGAUUACUUCCCGACGAGUAAGAUGAAUCCAUCGUGCGAACACUAUACGACUGAUAUGAUCAGUCUUAAAAGGCCCACGAGCCUGGGGAAAUUCUCCGAAUCGAUCCCUAAACCGAAAGGUGCUAUUCCACAUUUUGGUCUGCCAAAAUGGAAAUUAAUGCCUUUAGAGUCGAAAAUCCCAAUGGUCCCCGGACCGGAAGGCGCUUACAACUUCACUCGUCGUAAACUCGGGGAGACAUUGUGGAUCUCAGCGCCCGACGCGGAAUUCAACUUGAGCGAUCCUUACGGUUAUGAGAUAGAAUGGACUUACGAUUCCCUUCACGACAAACAUUUGCUCCCUUAUUUCUCAAAACCGAAUGUCAUUCGACAUUUGUUGAAGGCCGGUUUCAUUACUAAGAAUCUAGAUGCGAAAUGUUCCCUGAAGGAUUACAAUAUGUACAGAAGAUAUUUGAGAAGGUUACACUGUGACAGUAUAAAAAAGGAAUUGAACAGAAUAACGAAACAAUCCAUAGAGGAGAAAGCGAUACAAUACGCGCAACAUCAGGCGGAGAAGGAAGUAAAGAGAUUGAAAGAAAGAGAAAGAUUGAUGGAGUUAAGAAAAUUUGCUAUAAAAGAGAUGAAAAUGGCUGAGAAGCUAAAACGACAAAAACAAAAGGAAAUGAAAAAGAAAAUAGAGAAAAGAUUGAUAUUGUUAGAAUUACAAAAACGAGAAGCUCAACAAAUGCGGUAUAUGAAAAGCAUACAGAAAGCUGAAUUAAUUCAACAAAAACAAAAAGCAGCACAAGCCAUUCGACGGCAAAAAAUAAUUCACACUUUAUUGGAAUGGCGUAAAAAGGAACGUGUAAGAAAAAAAAUGAUGGAUUUACGAUUAAUGCAAGAACGGGAAGAGAAACGGAGAAUCGUAAAAGAAAAAUGGGAAGAAAGACAAGAAUUUCAAAAGAAACAGAUUGAAAAGGAACAAUUUCUAAUGAAAUGCAUAGAAGAUCAACGAAAAGAAUUUAUAGAAGCGUAUGAAAAGAAAAUCUUUUCCAUGAUGUGAGAAUGUAUAUAAGAUGUUAUUUGGCUAGGCAGAUGCCUUCAAAGAGAAUGCGAAUUUGUUGUCCAAAAUAUUUUUAUAACGAAGAGGAUGAUUUUAAAACCGAUGAAAAAAAUUAUUAUCUAAAUCAUAUGCUGCUACAAAAAAUGAUAAG
rnacentral:misc_RNA from 1 species